GUAGGUGGCAAGCGUUGUCCGGAAUUAUUGGGCGUAAAGCGCGCGCAGGCGGUCCUUUAAGUCUGAUGUGAAAGCCCACGGCUCAACCGUGGAGGGUCAUUGGAAACUGGGGGACUUGAGUACAGAAGAGGAAAGCGGAAUUCCAAGUGUAGCGGUGAAAUGCGUAGAGAUUUGGAGGAACACCAGUGGCGAAGGCGGCUUUCUGGUCUGUAACUGACGCUGAGGCGCGAAAGCGUGGGGGGUCAAACAGGAUUAGAUACCCUGGUAGUCCACGCCGUAAACGAUGAGUGCUAAGUGUUAGGGGGUUUUCCCGCCCCCCUUAGUGCUGCAGCUAACGCAUUAAGCACUCCGCCUGGGGGAGUACGGCCGCAAGGCUG
rnacentral:rRNA from 1 species